rnacentral:rRNA from 1 species
GUCUAUGGCCAUACCACCCUGACCACGCUUGAUCUCAUCUGAUCUCAGAAGCUAAGCAGGGUCGAGCCUGGUUAGUACUUGGAUGGGAAAAUAAGAAUUAAGACA